UUAGAAUCAUCCCGGCUUCCCGGCUACGCGGUAUUUUCUUAGAAUUUAGAGUAAUCGUCUGCUACCUUAUCUCUUGUCUGCUAUAACGAGUUAUGCCGAUUCUCGAUUCAUCUGAAUUUGCAGUUUAUUAAAAAACAAGUUUUAUAAAAGUUGAUUUGGCGCACGAAUUACUAGUUACUAAACGAGCCGUAGGUGCGCCAAAACCCCUAUAAAACGAGCAUUUUAUGCAAAUUUUUGUACUUUGUGCUCCCUUUUUUCUUAUUUUAAUAAAACAAAUUUUGUCGUCAAGGGAAUUUUGUGUCAGUUGGUAACGGUAAUAAAUAAUAAAUAGUUAAUAAAGAAGAAUUGAUGAUUAAAUCGAUUGUACGUGUAUUCCACGCAUUAUCGAUGAAACUCCUGUAAUCUAAAUAUAUUUAAAUUCAUUAAAGUACACUCUACGUUAAUUAAUAAACUAUUAUAUACGCAAAGUAUAAAACAAUUAUUAAGGCGAUUCUCAAGAACUGUAAAAUUAUAAAAAAUGUGUUUUUACUCUUAUUUUACUUUUAUACAUAUCUUAAACUCGACAACAAUUUUCUUCCGGAAACCAAUGUGGCGCCUCCAUCCGGCACUUCCUUCCAAUUAAAUUUUAAAAGCGGUAAUUUAUUCUAAAGGUGGUUUUUUGCUUGCUAUUGCUAGUAUUGGGUUUAAUUUUUGUAUGCAUAUUUACAAUGAUGUUGUGCAUGAAUGGUGUUUUUUUUCCGAUCUGUGCAGUAUCUUGCGAUUGGCACCCAAGUCUCAGAUCAGCAGACCGAAUAUUUACCGAAUGGUUAAUCGUGGCGAUUUGAUUUUUUGGAAAUUUGGAUUCCGCCGGUCAUUUUACCUUGAAAACUCUCGAUCCUAAAGAUAACUCAGAAAACUUAGUAAAUAAUAAAAAAAACUUUGGUUUAGACAAACUGUGACGAGAUUAAAUUUUUGAGGACAUUUUUCAAACGGUUAGUCACAGCGAUGAUUCAUGCAAAUUUAGAUUCUGAAGCUCAUUUUAUGUUAGAAACACUCAAUCCUAAGGAGAUAAAUCCAAAAACUUGGCAAAUUUAGAUAUUGAAGCUCAUUUUACGUUAGAAACACUCAAUCCUAAAGAAAAAACUAAGAAAACAAAUUGUAACGUUGUAAUGAAGCAUCCGGAUUCCGGACGAUUCUAUGGCGACGUAGGAGUCAUGCGCUCAAAUCAGUUCCACCACCACCGGCGCUCGGUUUGUUUACACCGUGUCGCCAAUAAAAGGGCGAAACCGAGCGUUCUCCAGCAGUUGCUCACUGUGCAUCAAACCGUAAAAGAUGGAAUCAACACCGCCGAGAAACCGCCACUCCGAGUCCAUCGAGACAAAAUUGGUGCGCCUGUUUGGACAAUCCCCGGAAAGCCCCUAUCUGGAGCUAUAUGCAUCCCCAUUACCAGGUCUCGUGUCGCCGCUCCCGCCAACACCGUCCCCAGUCCGCAGAAGGGAGAUUCAGGAGGCCCUUAUUAAGAAGCUGGGAACAAGCCCCAUAUUGGCAAGCCCGACAGCCUGGCUGGAAUCCCCGAAAACUCCGGUGCAGUUUUCCCCGGAACCGGAAAAACCCGUUACCCCUGGCAAAAGCAUCGCCCAGGAGGUUCUGGACGUUUUCCGGUCGAAGCCAAGGAUACUGCCGAAAAUUCCACCGGCGCCGGAACCGAUCAACCUGGCAGUCCCACUUUGGACUUUCCGGCCAGCGGGUAAUAUAGAGGGGCGAUGCCGAUUCAGAUUCCCGACAACCACCGGCGGCUUCCGAUGGGUCCUCCUGCCACCGAGACCGAAGACGGCGGACAAGGCGACGGGCGUAUCCGGCAUUACGUCAUGCCGUUUCUGAAGAAAGGGGGGGGUGUAAUGAAGCAUCCGGAUUCCGGACGAUUCUAUGGCGACGUAGGAGUCAUGCGCUCAAGUCAGUUCCACCACCACCGGCGCUCGGUUUGUUUACACCGUGUCGCCAAUAAAAGGGCGAAACCGAGCGUUCUCCAGCAGUUGCUCACUGUGCAUCAAACCGGUGAGUAACUCUGGGGGUCGAGCCGUGCAUCAAACCGGCAAAACCUUCUCCGACGAGUGGUGCUUGCUGCGCAUCAAACCAGCACACCAUCUCCACCGACCCGACCGACCUAGAGCUCCGACGAGUGGUGCUUGCUGCGCAUCAAACCAGCACACCAUCUCCACCGCCCAGACCGACCUGGGGCUUGGUAGGGAAAUUACGACCGAGGACAACCGUGUAAAUAGUGUAUAUAGUUAGGGAUAGUUAUUAUUAUUACUUUUAUUUAUCUUGGGGAUUUGUUAUUUUUAUUUGUACAGUUUGAUAGAAUAAAUAAUUGGUUUGAGUUAGAAA